AUAGCCAUAUCACGGUCAAACACUGGUGCUCAUACAAUCACUGAAGUUAAGCAACAUUGAGCUUGGCCAGUAUCAAGAUGGGGACCACUUGGGAAUACCAGGUGCU